UACGUAGGGCGCGAGCGUUGUCCGGAAUUAUUGGGCGUAAAGAGCUCGUAGGUGGCUUGUCGCGUCUGCCGUGAAAGGCCUGGGCUUAACUCGGGUUUUGCGGUGGAUACGGGCUGGCUAGAGGUAGGUAGGGGAGAACGGAAUUCCUGGUGUAGCGGUGAAAUGCGCAGAUAUCAGGAGGAACACCGGUGGCGAAGGCGGUUCUCUGGGCCUUACCUGACGCUGAGGAGCGAAAGCGUGGGGAGCGAACAGGAUUAGAUACCCUGGUAGUCCACGCUGUAAACGUUGGGCGCUAGGUGUGGGGUUCUUCCAUGGGUCCCGUGCCGUAGCUAACGCAUUAAGCGCCCCGCCUGGGGAGUACGGCCGCAAGGCUAAA
rnacentral:rRNA from 1 species